rnacentral:piRNA from 1 species
UGAAAUGGUGUCUGAAAAUGAUGUUAUC